rnacentral:rRNA from 1 species
GUGGGGAAUCUUGCGCAAUGGGCGAAAGCCUGACGCAGCCAUGCCGCGUGAAUGAUGAAGGUCUUAGGAUUGUAAAAUUCUUUCACCGGGGACGAUAAUGACGGUACCCGGAGAAGAAGCCCCGGCUAACUUCGUGCCAGCAGCCGCGGUAAUACGAAGGGGGCUAGCGUUGCUCGGAAUUACUGGGCGUAAAGGGCGCGUAGGCGGACAGUUUAGUCAGAGGUGAAAGCCCAGGGCUCAACCUUGGAAUUGCCUUUGGUACUGGCUGUCUUGAGUACGGGAGAGGUGAGUGGAACUCCGAGUGUAGAGGUGAAAUUCGUAGAUAUUCGGAGGAACACCAGUGGCGAAGGCGGCUCACUGGCUCGAUACUGACGCUGAGGUGCGAAAGCGUGGGGAGCAAACAGGAUUAGAAACCCCAGUAGUCC